UACGGAGGGGGCUAGCGUUGUUCGGAAUUACUGGGCGUAAAGCGCGUGUAGGCGGCUUUGCAAGUCGGGUGUGAAAGCCCUCAGCUCAACUGAGGAAGUGCGCCCGAAACUGCAGAGCUUGAGUGCCGGAGAGGGUGGCGGAAUUCCCCAAGUAGAGGUGAAAAUUCGUAGAUAUGGGGAGGAACACCGGGUGGCGAAGGCGGCCACCUGGACGGUAACUGGACGCUGAGACGCGAAAGCGUGGGGAGCAAACAGG
rnacentral:rRNA from 1 species